UUUGAAUUCAAGGUGUAUGUACAGUGCAGACAGUAGCCUUGGGAAGUUUUUUAUUUUUCGUUUUCUGGUUGUGGAGAAGCCCAGAUAACAGAAUAUGCCCUGAAGCUUUAUUUAAAUAAAGGCCCAGAACCAAAGCAACAGAGGUCUGAGUGAUUGGUCUCUGUCACACAGAUAAGGGAGAUGAUGCCCAUUAAUUUAGCUUCUAAACUGUGACCAUUUGACACCAAUCUGCACAGCUUGGUCCCACAACUCUUGGGAAGUCAUUAUCGUCAUAGGGAUUACUACAAUAACAGUUAAUUCCCAGUGUAAAAGUCCACGUCUAUUACUUUGGUGAGCAGCAUUCUGGAAGUACUUUGCCUCAUCAGCCUUUGACCCAGUGAGGAAUUACAAAGUGUGGAUUGUUUUUUUUUUUUUUUUUUUUAAACUCCUUAAUGAAAUUAAAGUCAGCUAUUUAAUCUUUAGCAGGCUUUAUAAAGUCAUUAAUUCAAGAAAGAAGAAGGAUCGCUUUAUAACAAAGCACCUCAAUAACUUAGCAUUUAUUUUCAACCAUCGGCAGCAAGCUGCUCACCACAGCUCCUCGCCCAAACCGAAGGAUCUCUACUUCAAACAUUAUCAUCUGUGCCUUACAGAGCUGCCACAAUUCCUAACAGAUGGUAGAUGUCUACGCUCUGCAUUGUUUGGAUUAAACUGCAGAAGGACUCUAUAUAAGUAAUAUUCUGCUAUGGCGUGGAACCAGCCAAACUGGGAAAAUUCAGUGACAACACUGUAAGCCACAAGUCCCACUAAGCAUUACAGCUUAUGCAGUGUAGUGCAUAAUGUGAUACACUUGCCUGAAAACCCCUGAAACAGAGAAAAUGACAUUAAAAAUAACACUUUUUUCCCAAACUUCUGAGUUUCCUCAUUUUUAUUAAUGUUUUUUGACCUGAGCUUCUGUAGUUUAAUUUCCUGUGGAUAUCAAAUAUCAGUGAAUCAAGCAAAGACCUUAACCUUUAGUCCCUUUUGCAUUUAAAGCUCCCUUACCUUGACAGUAUUUUAAUUGGUGUUAAUUCCCCUUCCUUUCUUCCCCUCUUCCCUCAAUGCUUGUUCUUUAAUAUUGUACAAUAUCACCCUAAACUCUACACUAAACUGAGCUGCCUUUAUUAGUUGGGCAGCUUUUGAACACCACCAACACACCAGUAAGCAGUUUUCAAGCUGUGGUUAGAUAUGAUUUGUCUUGUGCAAGUGCUCUGGGACUGCUCCCUGUGCCACUCAGAACAGCGAGUGCA
rnacentral:lncRNA from 1 species